AAACGUCUCAAGUGGUUUCAAAAAAUAAUAUUGUUUUUAAAAAUGCAAAAUAUAGUUUCAAUUAAGAAAGAUUAUGCAUAAAAUGCAUUCAGAAACAUUGUGAAGUUCACGCAUUGAAAAUAUCAAGGGAUUUGGUGACAACUCGGACUGUAAAGCUGGAACGUCAACGCACCACGAGCACAGCCGGGGCUAACUUGCUAAUGCUUGCCGAGCUCAGCAUUUGGGAAAUGAUAACUGUUAACGCGUAGAAAAUGGAGGAGAAGGACCGCUUUGCCUUCCUGGCCGAUUGGUACGACCCGACGGCGGCUCUCCUGCGGCGCUACCAACUCUUUUACUACCCCCAUGACAGCUCCGUGGAGAUGUUUGACGUAAAGAACCAGCGCAUCUUCCUGCGGCGGACCAAAUACGGCGACCUGCGCCCGGGCGAUCUGUUUGUGGGCGGCCGUGUCAACGUCUUCUCGCGGCAGCUCAACAUCGUUGACUACGGCGACAAAUACACGGCCACCAAGCUGGGCAGCAAAAAAGAACGAACCCUCGCGCUGCUCAAGCCGGACGGCGUGAACAAGGUCGGCGAUGUCCUGGAAAUGGCCAACCAGGCCAACCUGAUGGUCACCAACGCCAAGAUGACGCACUUGACAUGGAGCCAAGCGGCAGACUUUUAUGUGGAGCAUCAGUCGAAGCCCUUCUUCAAUUCCUUGGUGCAGCAGGUGUGCUCUGGUCCCGUGGUGGCCUUGGAGCUGGUGGGCGACGAGGCCGUGUCCGUCUGGAGGAACCUCCUGGGGCAUUCGGACGCGGCGGCGGCGGCGGCGGCGGCGGCGGCGGCGCACAAGGAGGCGCCGCAGAGCGCCAGGGGGCAGCUGGGAAGCGACCUGGCGCACGGCUCCGACUCGCUUAGCGCCGCAGCUAGGGAGCUGGAGUUCUUCUUCCCGACCACAAUCUGCCACGGCCCCGUCAACACGGCCCUCUAUUCGCAGUGCACGUGUUGCAUCAUCAAACCUCACGCUGUCUCCCAAGGCCUGGCCGGGAAGAUCGUCAACUCCAUCGCCGCGGGCGGGUUUCACAUCUCGGCGCUGCAAAUGUUCAACGUGGACCGAGCCAACGCCGAGGAGUUCUACGAAGUCUACAAAGGCGUCGUGACGGAAUACGCGGACAUGGUGACGGAGCUGUCUUUGGGACCCAGCAUGGUCCUGGAGCUCCACGGCGCCGACGUAGCCAAGACCUUCCGCGACUUCUGCGGGCCCGCCGAUCCGUUGAGUAAAUAGAGGAAGCACACGAUUCCAAAUGGCAGAGUUGCCGGCGGCUUCUCCCCAAUGCGUGCCGGCGACGCAUUCCUGCGAUGAUGUGACCAAGACAUCGCUCGCCACCUCCGUCCGUCCACGCUGCGAGCCAUCUACGGCAGCGACAAAGUCAAGAACGCCGUCCACUGCACAGACCUCGCGGAAGACGCCAUCCUGGAGGUGCAGUACUUCUUCAAGAUCUUGGACGGAUGACCGAAUAAAUAAUAAUAAAUACAAUUUUAAAACGAAA